rnacentral:rRNA from 1 species
UUCCGGUUGAUCCCGCCGGACCCGACUGCUAUUUGGGUGAGAAUAAGCCAUGCGAGUUGAAUGGAAUACCUAAAUUUUCCAUAGCAAACUGCUCAGUAACACAUGAUCAACUUACCCUAUAGAGAAAAAUAACCUCGGGAAACUGAGGAUAAUGUUUCAUAGUUGAAAAGGCUUGGAAAAGUUUUUCAAUCAAAGGGAUAAAAAAAAUGGUUUUUAUCCGCUAUAGGAUAGGAUCGUGGUCGAUUAUGGUUGUUGGUGAGGUAAUGGCUCACCAAGCCGAUAAUCGAUAGGGGCCGUGAGAGCGGGAGCCCCGAGAUGGGUACUGAGACAACGACCCAGGCCUUACGAGACGCAGCAGGCGCGAAACCUCCGCAAUACACGAAAGUGUGACGGGGUUACCCAAAGUGUUCAGUUUUGAACUGUGGUAGGUGAGUAAUGUCCCCUACUAGAAAGGAGAGGGCAAGGCUGGUGCCAGCCGCCGCGGUAAAACCAGCUCUUCAAGUGGUCGGGAUAAUUAUUGGGCUUAAAGUGUCCGUAGCCGGUUUAGUAAGUUCCUGGUAAAAUCGGGUAGCUUAACUAUCUGUAUGCUAGGAAUACUGCUAAACUAGAGGGCGGGAGAGGUCUGAGGUACUACAGGGGUAGGGGUGAAAUCUUAUAAUCCUUGUAGGACCACCAGUGGCGAAGGCGUCAGACUGGAACGUGCCUGACGGUGAGGGACGAAAGCCAGGGGAGCGAACCGGAUUAGAUACCCGGGUAGUCCUGGCCGUAAACGAUGCAUACUAGGUGAUGGCAUGGCCAUGAGCCGUGUCAGUGCCGUAGGGAAACCGUUAAGUAUGCCGCCUGGGAAGUACGGUCGCAAGGCUAAACUUAAAGGAAUUGGCGGGGGAGCACCACAAAGGGUGAAGCCUGCGGUUCAAUUGGAUUCAACGCCGGAAAUCACUAGUGCGGCC